AGUGAGGAAUAUUGCACAAUGGGGGCAACCCUGAUGCAGCAACGCCGCGUGGAGGAUGACGCAUUUCGGUGCGUAAACUCCUUUUAUAUGUCAAGAAAAUGACGGUAGCAUAUGAAUAAGCACCGGCUAACUCCGUGCCAGCAGCCGCGGUAAUACGGAGGGUGCAAGCGUUAUUCGGAAUCACUGGGCGUAAAGGACGCGUAGGCGGGUUGGUAAGUCAGAUGUGAAAUCCUACAGCUUAACUGUAGAACUGCAUUUGAAACUACUAACCUAGAGUAUGGGAGGGGGAGAUGGAAUUAGUGGUGUAGGGGUAAAAUCCGUAGAUAUCACUAGGAAUACCGAAAGCGAAGGCGAUCUCCUGGAACAUAACUGACGCUAAGGCGUGAAAGCGUGGGGAGCAAACAGGAUUAGAUACCCUGGUAGUCCACGCCCUAAACGAUGAACACUAGUCGUCGGGAUGCUAGUCAUCUCGGUGAUGCACUUAACAGAUUAAGUGUUCCGCCUGGGGAGUACGGUCGCAAGAUUAAAACUCAAAGGAAUAGACGGGGACCCGCACAAGUGGUGGAGCAUGUGGUUUAAUUCGAAGAUACGCGAAGAACCUUACCUAGCCUUGACAUUGAAGAAAUAGACCAGAGAUGGACUAGUGCCCUUCGGGGAAUCUGAAAACAGGUGCUGCACGGCUGUCGUCAGCUCGUGUCGUGAGAUGUUGGGUUAAGUCCCGCAACGAGCGCAACCCUCGUCCUUAGUUGCUAGCAGUUCGGCUGAGCACUCUAAGGAGACUGCCUUCGCAAGGAGGAGGAAGGUGAGGACGACGUCAAGUCAUCAUGGCCCUUAUGGCUAGGGCUACACACGUGCUACAAUGGGGCGUACAGAGUGUUGCGAUACCGCGAGGUGGAGCUAAUCACUUAAAGCGUCUCUCAGUUCGGAUUGGAGUCUGCAACUCGACUCCAUGAAGCUGGAAUCACUAGUAAUCGUAGAUCAGCAAUGCUACGGUGAAUACGU
rnacentral:rRNA from 1 species